rfam:Salmo salar isolate Sally breed double haploid chromosome ssa03, whole genome shotgun sequence.
UAUGCACUCUACUGUAAGUCGCUCUGGAUAAGAGCGUCUGCUAAAUGACGUAAA